UGGCUCAGAGGAUAAAGCGUCUGCCUGCAAUGCAGGAGACCUGGGUUCGAUCCCUG
rfam:Ovis aries breed Texel chromosome 5, whole genome shotgun sequence.